rnacentral:tRNA from 1 species
ACUCCUAUAGCAUAACGGUAGUGUGGCCGGAAUACCCGGUAAGCCAGAAAGUCUGCUUAACGAUGUAGGUUCGAAUCCUACUAGGAGUA